CCUACGGGUGGCAGCAGUGAGGAAUAUUGGUCAAUGGACGCAAGUCUGAACCAGCCAUGCCGCGUGAAGGAAGAAGGCUUUCGGGUUGUAAACUUCUUUUGACAGGGAAGAGCAGAAGACGGUACCUGUCGAAUAAGCCACGGCUAACUACGUGCCAGCAGCCGCGGUAAAACGUAGGUGGCAAGCGUUGUCCGGAUUUACUGGGUGUAAAGGGCGUGUAGCCGGGCUGACAAGGCAUAUGUUAAAUCCGGGGGCUCAACCCCCGAAGUGCAUUUGAAACUGUUGGUCUUGAGUAUCAGAGAGGCAGGCGGAAUUACUAGUGUAGCGGUGAAAUGCGUAGAUAUUAGGAGGAACACCAGUGGCGAAGGCGGCCUGCUGGGCGACAACUGACGGUGAGGCGCGAAAGCGUGGGGAGCAAACAGGAUUAGAUACCCCGGUAGUC
rnacentral:rRNA from 1 species